UAUUGGAUUUUAUUGAAUUGAGAUGUGCUGACUAUGGAGGCUGUUUGAGUGUAAUGAACUCAUUGAGAUGUUCUAGAAGCCAGUUCCAGGUGAUUUGAGCUUUGUGAUGUGGCUGCUUCGCCGCUGUUCUCCACUGUUCUCCACUGUUCUCCAAGGCAUGCACAUGGUCAGCAGAGAUACUCAGAUUCUGACCACACCAUCUGAAUAUCACAGCAGAAAUCAAGACUCAUCAGACCAGGAGUGCCGGGUGCUGCUAAAACACAUCUGCUUCAAGGUUUGAUGUGUUCAAGGAUGCUCUUCUGCAUGCAGACCAUUCACUAAAAAACCCUGGUAAUGGUCAUGCAUGGAAAUUCCCGGAAGUUUCUGAAAUAACUAGAUCUUUGCGUUAAUGGGAUGUUUUUAAAUGUUUUUGUUUUAUAUACAGAUAUACAUGCA